rnacentral:rRNA from 1 species
GACGAACGCUGGCGGCGUGCCUAAUACAUGCAAGUAGAACGCUGAAGGAGGAGCUUACUCCUCCGGAUGAGUUGCGAACGGGUGAGUAACGCGUAGGUAACCUGCCUGGUAGCGGGGGAUAACUAUUGGAAACGAUAGCUAAUACCGCAUAACAGUAGAUAUUGCAUGAUAUCUGCUUGAAAGGUGCAAUUGCAUCACUACCAGAUGGACCUGCGUUGUAUUAGCUAGUUGGUGAGGUAACGGCUCACCAAGGCGACGAUACAUAGCCGACCUGAGAGGGUGAUCGGCCACACUGGGACUGAGACACGGCCCAGACUCCUACGGGAGGCAGCAGUAGGGAAUCUUCGGCAAUGGACGGAAGUCUGACCGAGCAACGCCGCGUGAGUGAAGAAGGUUUUCGGAUCGUAAAGCUCUGUUGUAAGAGAAGAACGAGUGUGAGAGUGGAAAGUUCACACUGUGACGGUAUCUUACCAGAAAGGGACGGCUCACUACGUGCCAGCAGCCGCGGUAAUACGUAGGUCCCGAGCGUUGUCCGGAUUUAUUGGGCGUAAAGCGAGCGCAGGCGGUUAGAUAAGUCUGAAGUUAAAGGCUGUGGCUUAACCAUAGUACGCUUUGGAAACUGUUUAACUUGAGUGCAAGAGGGGAGAGUGGAAUUCCAUGUGUAGCGGUGAAAUGCGUAGAUAUAUGGAGGAACACCGGUGGCGAAAGCGGCUCUCUGGCUUGUAACUGACGCUGAGGCUCGAAAGCGUGGGGAGCAAACAGG